AUUGAACGCUGGCGGCAUGCUUUACACAUGCAAGUCGAACGGUAACAGGCCGCAAGGUGCUGACGAGUGGCGAACGGGUGAGUAAUGCAUCGGAACGUGCCCAGUCGUGGGGGAUAACGCAGCGAAAGCUGCGCUAAUACCGCAUACGAUCUCUGGAUGAAAGCGGGGGACCGAAAGGCCUCGCGCGAUUGGAGCGGCCGAUGUCAGAUUAGGUAGUUGGUGGGGUAAAGGCCCACCAAGCCAACGAUCUGUAGCUGGGCUGAGAGGACGACCGGCCAGACUGGGACUGAGACCCGGCCCAGACUCCUACGGGAGGAAGCAGUGGGGAAUUUUUGACAAUGGGCGCAAGCCUGAUCCAGCAAUGCCGCGUGCAGGAAGAAGGCCUUCGGGUUGUAAACUGCUUUUGUACGGAACGAAACGGUCCUGGUUAAUACCUGGGGCUAAUGACGGUACCGUAAGAAUAAGCACCGGCUAACUACGUGCCAGCCGCCGCCGUAAGAC
rnacentral:rRNA from 1 species